UGUAAGUACAAUCAGAAAGUGUAAAAAAAAAAGUAUUUUAUUUAUUCUUGUAAAAAAAGUAUAAUGUUGUACAUGUUAAUUUAAAUGGGCCAGUAUCCUGUCCUGUGGCGGAAGACUAUAUUAGGCCGAGUCAUGUUCGAAAUGACGUGAAUUUGGAUGGAUUGAGUCAUGCUCGAAGUGGCAUGAGGGCUAGUUGGACCGAGUCACAAUCGAAACCCGUGGGUGAUAUAUUUAUACGUUAUAAGAGAAUUAAUUGCGUAUUUCUAACAAUUAGAGCUUUUUAGAUUAAUAGUUAGCGCCAACGAUUUGAUAAUAUGUAUUGUAGUUAUUCAGUUAUGAUGUAAUUUCAACGGCACUCUCGUCGAUAAAUGGAAAAGCAUAACAUAUAUGUUUUUACAUAACUAUUUUGUCUGAUAAUAUUAAGCAGCCUUGACACCAAAUAAUCUCCAAACUAGUAUAGGAUCCGUGCUUCGCGACGGGCAUAUAAUGUUUCAACCAAUUCAAAUAGUCUUAUAUACAUUAAAAAAAUAAUUUGUUAAUUAAUAUUUUUUUAACUUUUAAUAUUUAUAGGGUUGAAUUAUUUUAAUAUUUUUAUUUAAAAUUUUACUAAAAUUUAUAUAUGGUCAUUCUGUAAAUAAAUUUUUUUAAUUAAAAAACUAAAGUUGAAGAACUGAUUUCAAAUUAAUGAUUAGAUAAGAGAGAGAAAGAGAGAAAUAGAGAGAGAAAGAGAGAAAGAAAGAGAGAAAGAGAGAGAGAGGGGAAGAGAGAGAAAGAGAGGGUAGAGAGAGGGAGAGGAGCAGCGCCAGAUGGGAGAGGGAAGAGAG
rnacentral:lncRNA from 1 species